UGCCUACGGGACGCAGCAGUGGGGAAUAUUGGGCAAUGGGGGAAACCCUGACCCAGCGACGCCGCGUGAGGGAAGAAGGUUUUCGGAUUGUAAACCUCUGUCCUUGGUGACGAUAAUGACGGUAGCCAAGGAGGAAGCCACGGCUAACUACGUGCCAGCAGCCGCGGUAAUACGUAGGUGGCGAGCGUUGUCCGGAAUUACUGGGUGUAAAGGGAGCGUAGACGGCUGUGCAAGUCUGAAGUGAAAUGCCGGGGCUCAACCCCGGAACUGCUUUGGAAACUGUACAGCUAGAGUGCAGGAGGGGG
rnacentral:rRNA from 1 species